UACCUAUAUAACUACCUACUAUAUAACUACCUACUAUAUAACUACCUACUAUAUAACUACCUACUAUAUAACUACCUAUAUAACUACCUACUCGGUCACACGGAACACACAGUCCUGUUUUCUUAUUCUAGUUAUUAGGAGAGUGUUAUAGUUCAUGUUUGAUUUUAUUUAUUUUUCAUGCAUUUACAUGCACGCUAGUAGUCCAUGAGCCAGGGGGCCUGUCGGGCUCACCUGGGCAGAGGGUUAUAGACUGGUUAUAGACUGGUUAUAGACUGGUUAUAGACUGGGUUAUAGACUGGGUUAUAGACUGGUUAUAGACUGGUUAUAGACUGGUUAUAGACUGGUUAUAGACUGGUUAUAGACUGGUUAUAGACUGGGUUAUAGACUGGUUAUAGACUGGUUAUAGACAGGGUUAUAGACAGGGUUAUAGACAGGGUUAUAGACAGGGUUAUAGAGGGUUUAGGCUAGGGAUAGGAUACAGGGUUAUAGGCAGGGUUAUAGACAGGGUUAUAGACAGGGUUAUAGAGGGUUUAGGCUAGGAAUAGGAUACAGGGUUAUAGACAGGGUUAUAGACAGGGUUAUAGACAGGGUUAUAGAGGGUUUAGGCUAGGGAUAGGAUACAGGGUUAUAGACAGGGUUAUAGACCAGGGUUAUAGACAGGGUUAUAGAGGGUUUAGGCUAGGGAUAGGAUACAGGGUUAUAGACAGGGUUAUAGACAGAGUUAUAGACAGGGUUAUAGGCAGGGUUAUCGAGGUUAUAGACAGAAUUAUAGACAGGGUUAUAGGGGUUUUAGGCUAGGGAUAGGAUACAGGGUUAUAGACAGGGUUAUAGACAGGGUUAUAGAGGGUUUAGGCUAGGGAUAGGAUACAGGGUUAUAGACAGGGUUAUAGACAGAGUUAUAGACAGGGUUAUAGGGGGUUUAGGCUAGGGCUAGGAUACAGGGUUAUAGACAGGGUUAUAGACAGGGUUAUAGACAGGAUUAUAGACAGGGUUAUAGACAGGGUUAUAGACAGGGUUAUAUGCAGGGUUAUAUGCAGGGUUAUAUGCAGGGUUAUAGAGGUUCUAGGCAGGGUUAUAGAGGUUCUAGGCUAGGGACAGGAUAUAUGUUAUAGACAGGGUUAUAUGCAGGGUUAUUAUAGACAGGGUUAUAGUAGAGGUAUACUCAGUAGCAAGCUGACCCAGCUAAUUAGUUAGGUAGUGUAUACCCAGUAGCCAGUAGUUAGCUGACCUAGCUUAUUAGUUAGGUAGUGUAUACCCAGUAGUUAGCUGACCUAGCUAAUUAGUUAGGUAGUGUAUACCCAGUAGUUAGCUGACCUAGCUAAUUAGUUAGGUAGUGUAUACCCAGUAGUUAGCUGACCUAGCUAAUUAGUUAGGUAGUGUAUACCCAGUAGCCAGUAGUUAGCUGAACUAGCUAAUUAGUUAGGUAGUGUAUACCCAGUAGUAAGCUGACCCAGCUAAUUAGUUAGGUAGUGUAUACCCAGUAGUUAGCUGCCCUAGCUAAUUAGUUAGGUAGUGUAUACCCAGUAGCCAGUAGUUAGCUGACCUAGCUAAUUAGUCAGGUAGUGUAUACCCAGUACUAAUUAGUUAGGUAGUGUAUACCCAGUAGCCAGUAGUAAGCAGACCUAGCUAAUUAGUUAGGUAGUGUAUACCCAGUAGUUAGCUGACCCAGCUAAUUAGUUAGGUAGUGUAUACCCAGUAGUUAGCUGACCUAGCUAAUUAGUUAGGUAGUGUAUACCCAGUAGCC
rnacentral:lncRNA from 1 species